GUAGGUGAACCUGCGGAAGGAUCGUUAACACUUUUUCGAAAGUUUUAUGCGAGAAAUUGCGUGGACAUUUAUUUGGUUGCUUCUUGUGUUGUUUGGCCUUAACGGGCCAAACCAACAUUUGGAAUGAUCAAAUUUUUAACACCCCCAAAACAAAAACAAAUAUAAACUAAAAACAAUAAAAAAUAUUGUAGAGUGAGGUCAUAUUUAUUUAUGGUGUUCACAUUACAAACUUUUUACGAAAUGAUAAGAA
rnacentral:misc_RNA from 1 species